CCUACGGGCGGCAGCAGUGGGGGAUAUUGCACAAUGGGGGAAACCCUGAUGCAGCGACGCCGCGUGGGUGAAGAAGUAUUUCGGUAUGUAAAGCCCUAUCAGCAGGGAAGAAAGAAGACGGUACCUGACUAAGAAGCCCCGGCUAACUACGUGCCAGCAGCCGCGGUAAUACGUAGGGGGCGAGCGUUAUCCGGAUUCACUGGGUGUAAAGGGAGCGUAGACGGCCGUGCAAGCCAGGAGUGAAAGCCCGGGGCCCAACCCCGGGACUGCUCUUGGAACUGUGCGGCUGGAGUGCGGGAGGGGCAGGCGGAAUUCCUGGUGUAGCGGUGAAAUGCGGAGAUAUCAGGAGGAACACCGGCGGCGAAGGCGGCCUGCUGGACCGCGACUGACGUUGAGGCUCGAAAGCGUGGGGAGCGAACAGGAUUAGAUACCCCAGUAGUC
rnacentral:rRNA from 1 species